GGGGGUAUAGUUCAGUGGUAGAGCAUGUGCUUAGUAUGUGUAAGGUCCUGGGUUCAAUCCCCAGUAAUUCCA
rnacentral:tRNA from 1 species